AGGAUUAGAUACCCUGGUAGUCCACGCCCUAAACGAUGCGAACUGGAUGUUGGUCUCAACUCGGAGAUCAGUGUCGAAGCUAACGCGUUAAGUUCGCCGCCUGGGGAGUACGGUCGCAAGACUGAAACUCAAAGGAAUUGACGGGGGCCCGCACAAGCGGUGGAGUAUGUGGUUUAAUUCGAUGCAACGCGAAGAACCUUACCUGGCCUUGACAUGUCUGGAAUUCUGCAGAGAUGCGGAAGUGCCUUCGGGAACCAGAACACAGGUGCUGCAUGGCUGUCGUCAGCUCGUGUCGUGAGGUGUUGGGUUAAGUCCCGCAACGAGCGCAACCCUUGUCCUUAGUUGCCAGCACGUAAAGGUGGGAACUCUAAGGAGACUGCCGGUGACAAACCGGAGGAAGGUGGGGAUGACGUCAAGUCAUCAUGGCCCUUACGGCCAGGGCUACACACGUACUACAAUGGUCGGUACAGAGGGUUGCAAUACCGCGAGGUGGAGCCAAUCCCAGAAAGCCGAUCCCAGUCCGGAUCGUAGUCUGCAACUCGACUACGUGAAGUCGGAAUCGCAAGUAAUCGCGGAUCAGCUAUGCCGCGGUGAAUACGUUCCCGGGCCUUGUACACACCGCCCGUCACACCAUGGGAGUGAGUUGC
rnacentral:rRNA from 1 species